CCCCUCUCUCUGGGAAACAAAUGUCUCCAGCUACUUUUUUUUUUUGGUUCGACGCACAGUCCUCAGCCAAUGGCAGAGGAGGGGCGACCGACAACAUCCCCAUCCCACCGCAGAGAAGGACACAUUGAUAUGAAGUAAACGCUUUAUAUGCCGCGGGAUGAAGAGAAGUGGAGUUUAGAGUCAGUUUGCUCAUCUUUUUCUUUAUUUUUUCUUACGCUUUAUAUCAAACAUCGCUGUUCUCCAACGGAAUAAAGGCGGCAGGUUGGGGGAGGAGGGAAACAUGCGCAAAUAAAGAGUUUUCUGAAAAUGUAGUGUAUGUAGGCUACACUAUAUUAGUGGCACACACUUAAAAACAAAAGUCUACCGAGUAUGCUGCGUCUAGAAACACAAACCCGUCUCUUUCUGUUGUUAAAAAUAAGAUUUAUUAUAUAUUAUAUAUUUUUAUAUAAGUCCAGAUUUACUUGAAGAACAUCAAUGCAGCUUCCAAUGAAAUCGAAUAAUUACUUUGCAAGGCAUCUCAACAAGAGGAUGUGUGUGAAGCUUUUACUGCUGCAAAGAAGAGUGAGAAAUUCAAGUAAAAAAAAAAAAAAUAGUGACCAAAAAAAGAAAAAAGAACCCUCCCGGACCAAAGCAGCUCUCUGCUCUGCUCCUCUCACAUUCCAGCGCGUCGCGAAAAAAAAAGAAGUGGGAUUUAGUGCGACUUAUUCCCUUAAAACUGUCCACACGUUCACAGAGCCAGCCAGUCUGCUGCCACCAGCCCGACGCGGGCCUGCACACACACACACACACACACACACACACACACACACACACACACACAAAUCACCCACCACAAUAUGUUUAGGGGAGUUCCCACCGGGAGACACCGAGCAGCCGAGGACCGGACCUGCAGUGCGCACAGGGAGGAGGAGGAAUGCGAGAAAGAAAAAAAAGAAGAAACAAUAUUUCUUGUGCAGGAGGAAGAUGUGAAAGAAGAAAAAAAGUCUUCCAGAUAUGAAGAUGUCGAUCAGAGGAAGCGGCUGUGGAUCGUAACCCUGCAGGAUUUUCUCUCAGCCACCGGCCUGAGAUCCGAUGGAGCAGAAGUUCGACUGCCUGUUUGGAGGAACGGAGCCGCAACGCAUCCAGGAGUUUGCAGACAAACAAACGGAUGCAAUUAAACACACUCGCCUUCAGAUCAUCAAGGAGGACGCAAAGUCAAGACAGGCACAAAGCAGCCAAGGACAAAUGGAAGGCGUGAGAAGACUCUGCUGCCUCAAGGUUAACACUGACUGACUGACUGAACUGUGGGAAGAGCUCCUCUCCUCACACUCUAUGGAACUCUCCUUCCACUCCUGCUUCUUCUGCACAGACACAUCGCCCGCUGUUUUUGUUUUUCAUAGUAAAUCCAUGUUAUAUUUUUAGAGCCGCUGCUGGAAGAAUUAAGCCAAGUUAAUUCACCACCACACGUCUGUUCUCUCUUCUGUCUCUGAAAUGAUUAUUUUUGCAAAGAAAGACAGCUACGCUCACAUCACCACUCCGCUCUCCUUCCCUCGCUCUCGCUCCACCUCGCCAUCGGUAGCCUUCUCCUCUGUGUGCGGAGGUGUCUGCAGCACGGCGUGGUAAAACCUGCCCUGCAGACUGGACCUCUCGAGUCUUCAAAGGAGGAAGAACUCAAUGUGGGGGGAUUUGUUCAGGCUUAUUUGGUAACCUAGGAUUUGAAUUGGAUUCUGGGAGGCAUUCAUAACACAUUUGGAAAUGUUACAUUGUGCGAUUUUGUGUGUAAUCCCCAUAAUAAAUUUUAGAAAUGGUCACAGCACUUGCACAACUGUGACUAUUCAUGAUUUA